CUCCCAACUGCCUUCAGACUGGCGCUGCUGGACUUAAACAGAUUUUUGCUCAACUCUGAAAGUGUUUGCUCUUGCCUCAGUUUCCCUUUUAACAGGAGAUACUAUAGCACAGUUCCUGGCUCAGCAAAUGUUACCUAUUUUUAAUGCCCAUGUCUGUGAUCUUUUAAAAAAAUGUACACAAACAUUUAUAUAGCAGUUUCAAAAGUAAACGUAAUAGUUACAGUAUUCACAACAACAAACAUGCACACACACAGAAGCAUGGAAGGGAGGAACUGCAUUAAAAUCAUAACUGUGCUUACUUUCAGAGUGGAUUAUUGCUGAUCCAUCUUUCUACCAUGCUUGUCUUUAUUCCUACAGUGAACAUGAAUUACUUUUGUAAUAAGAAACACAUUAUUCUUUACAGAGCUGCAGGAAUCAAUCCCAAGAAGAUCUGCUAUCUGUCCUUUUUCUCAUACCUCCUCAAACAUGGAUUCAAGAAGCUCCAACAUCAGCCCUUGUUCUCACUGCCCCCGACCCCCGCCAUGUGGAUUCAUUUAAAUUGGGGACUUUAUGGCCACCCCUCCUGGUUCUUUCUGGGCAGAGGGAGAAGCACAUUUGCAUUCUGGGACAUUGGAAGGAGCAAAGAAGUUGUUCUAGAGGAACUGACUUCUAGGUUGAUACCUGAAGAUGAACAGACUUAAGAGAUGGGGGACUUCCCUGGUGGUCCAGUGGAGAAGAAUCUGCUUGCCAAUGCAGGAGACGUGGGUUUGAUCGUUGGUCCAGGAAGAUUUCACAUGCUGUGGGGCAGCUAAGCCUGCAAGAUGCAACCAGUGAAGCCCUUGCAGGUAAAGCCUAGCCUGUGCUCUGCAGCCAGAGAAGCCAAGACAAUGAGAAGCUCAUGCACCACAGUGAAGGACAGCUCCCACCUGUCUCAACUAGAGAAAGCCCUCAAGCAGCAGCAAAGGCCCUGCAUAACUGAAAAUAAGUAAAGUUAUAAAAAACAAAUCACUGUGGACAGUGACUGCAGCCAUGAAAUUAAAAGAUGCUUGCUCCUUGGAAGACAAGCUAUGACAAACCUAGACAGCAUAUUAAAAAGCAGAGACAUCACUUGGUUAACAAAAGUCUGUCUAGUCAAAGCUGUGGUUUUUUCAGUAGCAUGUAUGGCUGUGAGAGUUGGACCAUAAAGAAGGCUGAGUGCUAAAGAAUUGGUGUUUUCAAACUGUGGUGCUGGAGAAGACUCUUAAAUGUCCCUUGGACAGAAAGAGGAUCAAACGAGUCAAUCCUAAAGGAAAUCAACCCUGAAUAUUUAUUGGAGGGACUGAUGCUGAAGCUCCACCUGAUGUGAAGAGCCAACUCACCGGAAAAGAUCUUGAUGCUGGGAAAGAUUGAGGGCAGGAAGGGAGGAGGGUGACAGAGGAUGAAAUGGUUGGAUGGCAUCACCAACUCAGUGGGCAUGAGUUUGAGUAAACUUCAGGAGACAGUGAAGGACAGGGAAGCCUGGCAUGCUGCACACCAUGGGGUUGCAAAAAGUCAGACAGGACUAAAUGACUGAACAACAACAACAAAAUUAAAAAGAGAGAGAAGGGGCAGGGAGGGGCCAGUGUUGUAAGCAGAGGGACCAGUCUGGGCUUCACUUCAUAAUCCCUUUCUAAUGGGUGUGUACAUAUUAAGAAAGAAAAGUCUUAAGUGAGAAAAAACUUAUCUGGUAAUAAUAAGAUGCUUAUUAACAGAUCUCUUAUCAAGCGGAGCUUUAUUUAGCUCCCUCUUAUGAUCAUACCCUUUGGAGUUGGUGUUAUGGCUACUUACGUGCAUCACCAAAGGAUCUCUGUUGCCUCUGGAAGGCCUUCGGUUUGCUCAUGUCACUCAGGUAGAGGUUUUUUAAGUGACCUUGUUGAAUGUUGAAUCAAAGAAUAAACUGAUAAAGAGUAUCA
ensembl:lncRNA